UUGAACGCUGGCGGCAUGCCUUACACAUGCAAGUCGAACGGCAGCACGGGAGCAAUCCUGGUGGCGAGUGGCGAACGGGUGAGUAAUAUAUCGGAACGUGCCCAGUCGUGGGGGAUAACGUAGCGAAAGCUACGCUAAUACCGCAUACGAUCUAUGGAUGAAAGCGGGGGGAUCGCAAGACCUCGCGCGAUUGGAGCGGCCGAUAUCAGAUUAGCUAGUUGGUGAGGUAAAGGCUCACCAAGGCGACGAUCUGUAGCUGGUCUGAGAGGACGACCAGCCACACUGGGACUGAGACACGGCCCAGACUCCUACGGGAGGCAGCAGUGGGGAAUUUUGGACAAUGGGCGCAAGCCUGAUCCAGCAAUGCCGCGUGCAGGAUGAAGGCCUUCGGGUUGUAAACUGCUUUUGUACGGAACGAAACGGUGAGCUCUAAUACAGUUUGCUAAUGACGGUACCGUAAGAAUAAGCACCGGCUAACUACGUG
rnacentral:rRNA from 1 species